GAUGAACGCUGGCGGCGUGCCUAAUACAUGCAGGUCGAGCGAACGGACGAGAAGCUUGCUUCUCUGAUGUUAGCGGCGGACGGGUGAGUAACACGUGGAUAACCUACCUAUAAGACUGGGAUAACUUCGGGAAACCGUAGCUAAUACCGGAUAAUAUUUUGAACCGCAUGGUUCAAAAGUGAAAGUCGGUCUUGCUGUCACUUAUAGAUGGAUCCGCGCUGCAUUAGCUAGUUGGUAAGGUAACGGCUUACCAAGGCAACGAUGCAUAGCCGACCUGAGAGGGUGAUCGGCCACACUGGAACUGAGACACGGUCCAGACUCCUACGGGAGGCAGCAGUAGGGAAUCUUCCGCAAAGGGCGAAAGCCUGACGGAGCAACGCCGCGUGAGUGAUGAAGGUCUUCGGAUCGUAAAACUCUGUUAUUAGGGAAGAACAUAUGUGUAAGUAACUGUGCACAUCUUGACGGUACCUAAUCAGAAAGCCACGGCUAACUACGUG
rnacentral:rRNA from 1 species